rnacentral:rRNA from 2 species
GUUGUCCGGAAUUAUUGAGGCGUAAAGGGCUCGCAGGCGGUUUCUUAAGUCUGAUGUGAAAGCCCCCGGCUCAACCGGGGAGGGUCAUUGGAAACUGGGGAACUUGAGUGCAGAAGAGGAGAAUGGAAUUCCACGUGUAGCGGUGAAAUGCGUAGAGAUGUGGAGGAACACCAGUGGCGAAGGCGACUCUCUGGUCUGUAACUGACGCUGAGGAGCGAAAGCGUGGGGAGCGAACAGGAUUAGAUACCCUGGUAGUCCACGCCGUAAACGAUGAGUGCUAAGUGUUAGGGGGUUUCCGCCCCUUAGUGCUGCAGCUAACGCAUUAAGCACUCCGCCUGGGGAGUACGGUCGCAAGACUGAAACUCAAAGGAAUUGACGGGGGCCCGCACAAGCGGUGGAGCAUGUGGUUUAAUUCGAAGCAACGCGAAGAACCUUACCAGGUCUUGACAUCCUCUGACAAUCCUAGAGAUAGGACGUCCCCUUCGGGGGCAGAGUGACAGGUGGUGCAUGGUUGUCGUCAGCUCGUGUCGUGAGAUGUUGGGUUAAGUCCCGCAACGAGCGCAACCCUUGAUCUUAGUUGCCAGCAUUCAGUUGGGCACUCUAAGGUGACUGCCGGUGACAAACCGGAGGAAGGUGGGGAUGACGUCAAAUCAUCAUGCCCCUUAUGACCUGGGCUACACACGUGCUACAAUGGACAGAACAAAGGGCAGCGAAACCGCGAGGUUAAGCCAAUCCCACAAAUCUGUUCUCAGUUCGGAUCGCAGUCUGCAACUCGACUGCGUGAAGCUGGAAUCGCUAGUUCCCGGGCCUUUGUACACACCGCCCGUCAGCAUGCCGGGGGGAA